rnacentral:rRNA from 1 species
GAUGAAUGCUGGCGGCGUGCCUAAUACAUGCAAGUCGAGCGGUAAGGCCCUUCGGGGUACACGAGCGGCGGACGGCUGAGUAACGCGUGGGAACAUGCCCCAAAGUGAGGGAUAACCUCGAGAAAUCGAGGCUAAUACCGCAUAUGGUCUUCGGAUUAAAGGAUUUAUCCGCUUUGGGAGUGGCCCGCGUACGAUUAGAUUGUUGGUAGGGUAAUGGCCUACCAAGUCGACGAUCGUUAACUGGUCUGAGAGGAUGAUCAGUCAGACUGGAACUGAGACACGGUCCAGACUCCUACGGGAGGCAGCAGUAAGGAAUCUUCCACAAUGGGCGAAAGCCUGAUGGAGCAACGCCGCGUGCAGGAUGAAGGCCCUCGGGUCGUAAACUGCUUUUAUGAGUGAAGAAUAUGACGGUAACUCAUGAAUAAGCACCGGCUAACUACGUGCCAGCAGCCGCCGUAACAC